GCCGCCCUAGCUCAGUUGGUUAGAGCGCCAGAUUGUGGCUCUGGAGGUCCCCCGUUCGAUCCGGGGGGGCGGUACCA
rnacentral:tRNA from 1 species